rnacentral:rRNA from 1 species
CCUACGGGGGGCAGCAGUGAGGAAUAUUGGUCAAUGGGCGGGAGCCUGAACCAGCCAAGUCGCGUGAGGGAUGACGGCCCUAUGGGUUGUAAACCUCUUUUGCCGGGGAGCAAAGUGCCGCACGUGUGCUGUUUGGAGAGUACCCGGAGAAAAAGCAUCGGCUAACUCCGUGCCAGCAGCCGCGGUAAUACGGAGGAUGCGAGCGUUAUCCGGAAUUACUGGGUGUAAAGGGAGCGUAGGCGGGAAGCCAAGUCAGCUGUGAAAACGACGGGCUUAACCUGUAGACUGCAGUUGAAACUGGCGUUCUUGAGUGAAGUAGAGGUUGGCGGAAUUCGGAGUGUAGCGGUGAAAUGCGUAGAUAUUCGGAGGAACACCGGUGGCGAAGGCGGCCAACUGGGCUUUAACUGACCCUGAGGCUCGAAAGUGUGGGGAGCAAACAGGAUUAGAUACCCUAGUAGUC